CACACACACACACACACACACACACACACACACCAGCAUGGGCAGGUUUCAAACAGCCCUAACAGACAUCCCGACAGACAUUUCAGAAGAACAGGACCAGACUUGCUGAAAAAUAGGGGUAAAGUUUUUUUGGAUAGGAAAUAUAACAGGAAUAAGAGAUGAAGUUCAUAUAGAAGGUAUCUGACAUUACACUGCUGCUGAAACUUUUUUACAAGUGACGUGAAAGUGUUAACCAGAUGGAUGGAUGAGUGGAGUGAUGGAUGAAUAACGGGUGGAAGAGUGGACAGAUGAGUGGACGGAUGGAAGGAUGAAAAAUAGAUGGACGGACCGGUUGAAAAGUGGAUAAAUGGAUAGAAAGAUAGGAUAGAUGUACGGGCAGACAGAUGGAGAGAUAAAUGAAUGGAUGAAUGAAUGAAUGCUGAUGGGUGGAUGAAUGAUGGAUGAAUGGAUGGGUGGGUGAGUGAUGGAUGGAUGAAUUGAAGGAUGGAUAAGUAGAUGCACAGAUGAAUAGAUGGGUGGACAAAUGGAUGGAUGGAUGGAUGGGUGAUUGAUGGAUAGAUGAAAUGAAGAAUGUGUAAGUAGAUGGACAGAUGAAUAGAUGGGGUGGAUGAACGGAUGGAUGGAUGAAUAAACCGGAGAAUGGAUGGGUAAAUGAAUAAUGGAUGGAUGGAUGCAUGACUGAGUGAUGGAUGGAUAGAUAAAUGAAAUAUUUAUGAUAGAUGAAUAUUGGGUGGAUGAAUUGAGGAAUUGAUAAAUAGAUGAUUGGUGGAUGGGUGAGUGAUGGGUGGAUGGAUGGAUGGAUGGGUGGAAGGAUUUAGCAAUAAAUAAAUAGAUGAAUAGAUGGAUGGAUGCAUAGUGGAUGGAUCUUUAGAAAUCAGUUUGAAAAAUAUCUGCAUGCUCCUACAUAUCAGACAUAUCAUCACCAGAGUCACUCUUUAUAAAUCUGAAUUUUAUAAACCCCCAGUUUGUCUCUCAAGUCACAUUCCAUCAACUCCACUGGGAAACUUAUAAAAUAACACAUCGAAGCAAAUGUAUCUGGAAGGCCCUGAACCUGCA
ensembl:lncRNA